rnacentral:rRNA from 1 species
UACGGAGGGAGCUAGCGUUGUUCGGAUAUACUGGGCGUAAAGCGCACGUAGGCGGCGCCGUAAGUCAGGGGUGAAAUCCCGGAGCUCAACUCCGGAACUGCCUCUGAAACUGCAGUGCUAGAAUCUUGGAGAGGCGAGUGGAAUUCCGAGUGUAGAGGUGAAAUUCGUAGAUAUUCGGAAGAACACCAGUGGCGAAGGCGACUCGCUGGACAAGUAUUGACGCUGAGGUGCGAAAGCGUGGGGGGCAAACAGG